GAACUAACCCUUUAAUUUUUAGAUACAGCCUACUUCAUUUCAUAACCUAUUAAAUAUAGAUAGAUAAAUAGGCUUACUAAAACGUAUUGAUUUACUAGUACACAUUUAUUAGAUACUAGUAGCCUACAAAUGUUAAGAUUUUUAAUUGAACUAUACAGUAUAGCUAUUCUGACUAGUCAUUACAUAAGACGAGUAAAAAAAAUCAGUCGUGUUUACUAAACUUUUUGACAUAAUUUCGACUUUUUAUGACAAUUAUAAUUUACCAAAAAAUUAUUUUUUGUCGUAUGAGGCGGAAAUAGGGAACCGCUUGUCAAUACGACCGUUAGGGUCAGAGUGCAGUUAAGCGCGCGAACUUUGCGCGCGUCGGUUAAAGCCUCGACGACAUCAACAUCACACAUCUUAUCUGUUACUCAUCCGGAAAACAGGUUAUUCGGGUUCACCAACCGAAGAAAGACUGAACGAUCUCGACCUAGCCUUCAACUUUUCAGCUCAGUCAUUCUUAUGACCGUCAUAAAAGCUGGAAUAUAAAUAGAUUCGAGGUGCUGUCACAGUGAAAUAUGAAUCACGUCCUGUUGAUAAGAUAUUGUGUGGAAUAUGAAGGUCAUCUGUGUGUGAAGAUGCAAAAAUUGUGACAUUUGACCUGAACUUUUACACUAUUUUCUUGUGAGGCUGGGCUUGUUUUCUAGCUCUUUGAGGAUGAUGUUUUACCUCUUGUUCUGUUGCAAUAGUUUCAGGUCAAGGUUGCAGAAAGUCAUCCAGUAAAUGUCAUGUGAAUCAGUGUUUUCUAACCCUGUUCCUGGAGUUCCACCAACAUUGCACAUGUUGGACGUGUCCCUAAUAAAACACACCUGAAACACAUUCACACUGUGUACUAUUGAGGAACACAGUUUUAUAUAAUUUAUAUAUAUAUAUAUAUCUUAAAAUUUGUUAAUUAAAAAUUAACCAGUUUAGGGUGAGUUUUCACCCUAAACUCACAUCAAUAAACAAGCAGUGGUCAAUAACAGUGGUCUUGUUUCAUUUGUCUGGCAUGAGGAAUUUAUUUUUCUGUUUACUAUCAUGCUGGUGAUAAGAUGGUGUCCUCAGUGUCUGUCUCAGACUGUCUCGACCUUCAAUAAACAUGGCCUUAUCAAACACAUUUACAACCCGUGAUUCAAUCACUAUGAUUCAGACACUCAUUCGUGUGCUCUAGACUCUUUCCACUCAGGAUGUUCUGAUCGUGUUGAAGUGCAUGUACACUGUGAAACACAAAACAACAUCAAGAGGUGGAAUAGAUCUGCCAUUUUGUUUAAUUGCAUAAGGAAUAUAGUAAAUGACUUUGAAUUCUAACAGUUAUAAUUGAUUUAUCCAAUGUUUUUUCUGCCAUAAAACCAUAAGAGAAAUUUACAUGAAGAACAAACAAGAUUAAACUAUUUCCUAUAAGUGGCUUUGGUGAGUGUCUGUGGAAAACAUAAAUAUUCAUAAUGGAAAUAUAAGUGGAAUUUCACAAGUAGCUACUUGUUGAUUUGAUUGAAAGCAAUAUAGUAAUUAGCUUAUCUGGUUAAGUUCUGUGCUAGGCACUGCAGAGAUAAAAAACCAGGACAAGUCGCACAUGAUUAUGACGUUACAGAAAAACAUGUCAAUAGUAGCGGGAAUUUCUCAAGAAAGUGAUUUUUUUUUUUAAACUGAUUCUGAUUGACAAAUGUUCCACAAUGUUGAUUAAUUUAUUUUGUAGAUUCAGCUUCACUGAUCACAUUACAGUCUGCAUCAUUACUUUGUUUGUGCAUUCAUUUACAUAUAAUUCAAGACAUUGAUUACUUCAAUUUUUCAUUAUUGAACAAUCAGUUAAAAGUCAAUUAAUCUUAUUUUUUAAAUGUUUUCUGCAGAGUCUGAAAACAGUAAAAAGCAAACAAAUAAAAUUGAGGUAGUAUAGAUAGAAAAGGAGUAGAUUCAAUCAGCUUUAACAGAAUCUCUGUUGUGCUUAAGAACACUCCUUACCGUGGUAAAAUCACUGUAACGCUUAUUGCUUUCAGAAACCAGUGACAACAUUGAGACCCAAACGUUCAAUAAAUGUUGUAAAACAUAAUUGUAAUUCUUAAGGCCUUUGCACACUGAGUCCGAAAUUCGCAUGCAAAAUUUUCGCACGUUAAAAAAUAAAUUCGACCUCACGUUAUGUCAACCACGUUUGCACACUGCCUCUGAAACUUUCGUCCGUCAAAAAAAUAUUCGGAUCAGGUUCGAUUUUCUUUUUCCGCAUCCGUGGCACGCAUUUUGAGAGACAUUUUGACAAUUCAGAGCCACCGUACGCGAACGCAAAAAUCUCGAAUGCCCAUCUGACAAGUUGAUCCACAUUGCCUACAGCACAGCACAAAACAGCAGCACUGAAUGACAAACAACGUGCGGAAUACAAAGACAAAUUGUGCCGGUAGCAAAGCAUCAAACUGAGCCACUGACAUCCUGAAGUAAACUUUGAAACGCUCGGGAUAAUCACGCAGCUCCUUGAUGAGGUGAAACUCUCCUUUCUCUCUAUGCAAUCUCAAAAUUGG